GAAUUGAUUUAGUGUGGAAUUUCUAUAUGCAAAAAUGUCUUAUUGCAAUUUUUCCCCCUUACAGAUUGUCAUAAUGCAGAACAAGACUAUAAACCUAAAUGGGAUCAUGGCUACCUUUAUUAAGAGCAGGAAGGACAGAACUAAAAGUUUGAGAGAAUGGCUCUAAGGCCCUGUUUUCCUUUCCUUUAGCCUCGUGAUACAGAGGCAUCUUGAAACCCAAUCAUCCCAUGGAAAUGUACAUAUAGUCUGCAGUUUCACUUGUCAUAUAUAAUUGCAUCUACUCUUCAUAAGGCUUAAUCAACAUUUGUGGAAUUGAAUUGUACUUGAUCAGACUGCAUCUGGCCAGGUUGGCAUACAACCCACCAAAGAAAGCUUUAUGGACCUUAAUGGCUAUAAUUUAAAAAAUCCAAUCCAGCAAACCAAACAGCAUUUAUUAAGUACCUUAUUUGUGGAAGGCACUGAGGAUGCAAAAAUUAAAGGGGAAAAGUAAGUAGAUUUCUUCCCUUUCUACUGCAAACUAAUAACAUAAAAUGCUAUUUCUACGGACUCCACA
rnacentral:lncRNA from 1 species